UACGUAGGGGGCGAGCGUUGUCCGGAUUUAUUGGGCGUAAAGAGCUCGUAGGCGGCUUAGCAAGUCGGGUGUGAAAACUCCAGGCUCAACCUGGAGACGCCACUCGAGACUGCUAUGGCUAGAGUCCGGUAGGGGACCACGGAAUUCCUGGUGUAGCGGUGAAAUGCGCAGAUAUCAGGAGGAACACCGGUGGCGAAGGCGGGUCUCUGGGCCGAUACUGACGCUGAGGAGCGAAAGCGUGGGGAGCGAACAGG
rnacentral:rRNA from 1 species